rnacentral:rRNA from 1 species
UCCAAAAGACUCUCGGCAACGGAUAUCUCGGCUCUUGCAUCGAUGAAGAACGUAGCGAAAUGCGAUACUUGGUGUGAAUUGCAGAAUCCCGUGAACCAUCGAGUCUUUGAACGCAAGUUGCGCCCGAAGCCUUUAGGCCGAGGGCACGCCUGCCUGGGUGUCGCACAUCGUUGCCCCC